UUUCAGAAAACGAAUACAUACAUGUAUUGUCAUUUAAGCGUAACCGCUUUACGCUAAAAGCGCGAUCUCGCGGAGAGUUUUUUGAAAUUUUACAUGCUGCAUUACAAAAUAUUAAAAAUUUCAAACACAAAAAUCUAUGAUAUUAACGCUUCUCUCCAUCAAAAUAUUAAAGAAUGUUUCGAUUUUCGUUUUCCAAUACGCCACGUGACAAACUGUAAAAAUCGAUAACCAGAAGUAGGAAAAAACAGUGAACAUUUAUAUUAGAUAUGCUUCAAAUAAAACGCAGAUUCCAAUUCAUACAACUGUCGGAACAUUAAAAAUAUUGUACUCAGUGCGACUUCACCUUACACCGAAGAAUUAAAAACAAGGAAAGUCGGCAUGACAUAACCUCUACACAAUGUGACCUCCGAUUAAGAUCGAUAAACAAGCAAGUUUAAAUGUUUGUUGAAAAUCUGACGAAACAUAACACCAAAAUGCAAACCACUAACACAGCAAAUAUGCGCAGCAGAGAGGCAGUAGAUGUCAGCGCGACGCAGAACCAUUGAUCAGACCCAUGAUUUUCGCGCGCAACGCCUCUGUAUCAUUCAAUUUCAUUCGUUUUUGACCAAAUACCUGUCUACGUAUUCUAUGUAAUACAUACAUUUUUUUCAAAUUACUAAUUGGUACAAACAUAAUGUUUGCUUAAAGCAUUAAUUUGUGUAAUGUAAAUAUCGGAUUUCCAAUUAUUCACAGCUUAAUUGUUUGAAUAAAACCGUUCAACAAUUUGAAA